rnacentral:miRNA from 1 species
UUCGAGUGCCAGUGUAUGUAUGUGUGCAUGAACAUGUGUGGAUGCCUAUUUAAUAUACAUCAUAUCAUAACAUGUAUGUGUAUCUACACCAUGUAAUG